CCACACUUGAACUCUCACCGGUAGCAUAUACAUUGUAUGUAACAUAUGAAUUGUACAAACAAGAUUUGUGAUGUUGUCCAGACUUUCUUGAGUCUGCAGACUGAGUGUUUAUUGCUAUAAUUCGCCAUCUCCCCAUGCCAAUGGACUUUGGACGGAAACCAUCAUUCCAUGGAGCAUCCUGCGAUUCAAAUCAAUAUAUGAUGACUCGUAUAUAUUAAUUCCAUGCAAAAACAACUUCCCCAAUAGUUUCAAAUGGCACUGCAAUGAACAGAUGAGAGUUAACUUCGAGGUCUUGGAUAUAAGCUAACACGAUAAUAUGCACAUUGUCUGUCUUAGAUAUACUAAUAUGUUCAUGAUCAGUGAAGGAUGUUUCUUUUUUAAAUGGUGAGGUGGUGUUCCUGUUCAUUUUGUUUGAGAGAAUUCUUAUUUUUUGUAUUUUAUUUCUUUCUCUUCUCCCCUCAUCUCUUAGGCGCACUACUCAUCCACUUUAUAGGGAUAAUGCAUCGUUUAUCUAAUUAUAUAUAAACUUAUCUGGAAAAUUUCAACUACAGAAAGUUAACUAGAUAAGCUCCAAAGAUAAAUGGUUGUUGAGUCUCAGAAAAAUCAAGCAACAAUGAAUUAUGAUUCUAUACACAGCUAGAAAAUAAUAUGGAAAUUUGAAGUUCAGACUAUGCAAAUACUUUCUGAUGGCCAUAUUCCGAUGUUCGAACAAGAACAAUGAUGAUUUCACAAAAUGAAAGCAUCAAUCCCAGCAACCCAACAUUGACUUUAAGCAAAGAGAGGUUCAACUUUGGGAAGGCCAGCAGAUAAGUCAAGCUAGACAUCAAUCAGAACAAUACACAUUGAAUUUUUAUUGGUCCAUUGUAGAUUGAACAAUACACAUGCUUUAUGAAGAUUAAACAUUAAAACUUACGUUCCAGCCAUAGAAUUUUCCGAGACUUAUAAAGUAGAAUUUCAGAUGGAAAGAGAACGCAUAAACACAACCAAGCUAUAGAGAAACAGAAUACGGCACCAGCAAAUGACGUAUAACCAAAGUGGCACCUGCGUUGGUAAGGAGGCUAUGAAUAAUAAAAGUUAGAUACAAUAGCCAAUAGGGAAGACGAAGUCCUUGAAAACUAAAAAGAUGAAUGACACUCCAGCAAUACUACUUCGAUAUCCCUUGUGCCAUGUAUGCAUUCUUCCUUUAAGAUAACAAAUUCACAUGGAGAAACCUAAACAGUUGUUUCGACCACCCAUGAAAGUUUGAAUCAGGACAUCACAGGCAUAGGUAAAUUAAGAAUGAACUGUGCAGUGUAAAAGGUGAAAUGAUGUCACCGGCCAUCCUCAAGGUCUUUGGAAGCACAAAAAAUAGAUCAAAGCCGACCAGAACCACAUCAGCGAUGAACCAUGGUAACAAUUUGAACUAAAAGGCUUGGGAGGUACCUCCUAGGGCUGAUGAAUAGCGAGCGACGAACAGUGAAUGAUAAUUGAUGACGACGAAUGAGGAUGACCGACGAUGAGAGAAUAUUGAUGGACAUUGGAGCGGCCAACCGAUGGUGGAGAUAGAGAAAACUUUAAAAUCCUAGGUCUCAAGUCUCAAGAAGAUGAGAAAUUGAGAAAUACCAACGAUGAAAAAAGAUCGAAAGAAGGGAGAGUGGGUAGGAGCUGUACAUGUUAGGGGCCUUAGGAUUGAUGAAUGAUGAACAAUGAUCGACGACUGAUAAUGACAGAUGAGGACGACCGAUGAUAAGAGAACACCAACGGACUUUGGAGAAACCAACUAACGAAGGAGGUAGAGAGAAAUUCCAAAACUCGAGAGGAUGAGAAAUCAAAAAAUACCAAUGUCAGCGAUGGAGGAAGAUGGGAAGAGGGAUUCUAAUAUCGGAUAUUCAAAUGAAAUAAGACUUUUCAAAAUGAACAGAAGAUGAGAUUUGCUUAAAGUUAAAACCAAUUAGCUAACUGGCUAAUUGGCUAGAAAUCGAGCUAACUCAUGGUUUAUUUAAAUGACUAAACCUAUUUGAUUAGGGAUCAGGCUCGGAUUGAAUAUUUGGACUAUUGAUUGGGCUUGAAUUCAAGCUCGGACUUGAGCUGAUCUUGGAUGGGGCCAAAGGCAUAUCCGAGCAUAGCCCAAAAGACAAACAUGCCCUAUAAGUAGGCCUAAGUAUGGCUUGAACUGUUGCCAAAGUUCAGUUCCAACCUGAGGGGUUGAUUGAUCAAGGAAAAACCUGUCUUUGAUAUCAUGAAAAAUUUGUAUUGAAAAUGACAUCAGAACUACUACUUAUAUUUAUCACACUAGUAUGCUUUAUAUAGUUGAGCCCUUUGAUUUUAGGAAUUAGAUAUAGUAGAAUACAAUAAUUAAAUCUCAUAAUUAUAAAAAAGAUACUAGAGAAUAAAAUCUCAUGAUUAAUUAUGAGAAGAUACUAGAGAUCUUAUAUAUUAUAAUGCAUAGUAAAAUCCCAUGAUUUGGUACACAUACUAAAUAUGAAUAUGACAAAUGGACCCCAUGAUCUUUGGAGAUUGAUAUGGAUUAAUAUGCCAAAAUUCUACAAAAAAUAUAUAGCAGUUGUGAUAUCUGAGAUUCUAUAAUGAGCUGCUGCAUGCAAUAUGUGGCAGCUGUGAUAUCAAAGAUUCAAUAAUAGAUGAGAUUCUAACAACUUUAAUAGAACAUACCCAUCCAAUGCAAGAAAAGAUCUCCCAUCCAUCCCAAUGGCUUCAAUACUACUAUCAUCCAAAUCAUCCACAAAUACAAGAACAAUAACCUAAAGAAGUGGCUAAAAAAGAAAGAGAGAAGAAGAGCAACUGAUGUUUGAGAAAACGACGGAGAGAACGAUCAUAGAGAUUAUGGUUGUGGUCUGGGAUCUUUGCCAUCCUAGUGGGUGAAUAGCUAGGCAAGUGCAAGAAAGAGCAUGGCUCGAUGGCCUCAUCAAUAGAUAAGGUAUGCUUCAAGAGGUGGUAGAGAAUGAACAUGCACAACUCUUCCUCGAUGAGAAUGAUUCGCAUUGGGGCCAAUGGAGUGGUGGCUCCUUAAUGGCCGAUUGCAAAAAGAUGGCUUAAAAUUUCUUAUAGGAAAAAAAGGGGUCAAACUUGAUUAGAUUGGUAGAUCUGAUUGAUUCAUUCAGCUCUUUCAGGUUUGAUCGAUUUUUUUGACCAUCUUCAAAAGAUUUUUCUUUGAACCGAACUAGAGACAAAUUUCUCAUGCCAUACUUGAACCCACACUAGUAAUAUACAAAUUGCACGUUGGGGCCUAUUUGGAUACUUAUACAAGACUAGACUAAAAAUCCUAUAGGAAUCCGAUUUGUUCGCUAUUUUAGCUUGCAUUUUCUAAGAGCUUGUUUAAACCCAGCCUAGAUCCUAGCUCUUAGACUGCAGGUUGGAAAAAAGACCUCCCAUAUGAUUGGGUUAGAUGGAGUUUUUAAUUGAUAUACAAUCAUGUUUAGAUGAACGGCCCAAUUGAUAAAUCCAAUAAAAUUUUCAGCUCAAUCGUAUAAGAACAGCCAAACAUAUCCUAAAGUUGUAGAAAGUUUCUAACCCUAGUAAAUGAAGCACUAUUAUUGGCACCAUGUUUUUCAUAGUGCAUAAGUCUCACUUGGAACCUUGAUUAAAAUAAAAUCCUACUUCCGCAAACUUGACUUAAUUUGCUUAGGGGCUAGGCUUCAGUCCAAAAAGGUGAGAUAGGCAUGGAUUAAAAUCUUUUCACAAGGCAGGAAGGAUAUAAAUCCCUCCUACUCCCCAAAAGAAAUAAAAUAAAAUAAUUAUUGGUGCCUACCUCUCCAAAUAACAGACCUUAAGUUCAAAUAUUAAUGGUUUUAAAUAACCAUAAUAUGAUGUAUGUAACAAGAUGAGGGACAACUUGGGGUUGAAUCAUGUUAGAACAAUAUUUGGUGCAAGUUUGAACCAAACUAAACCCGAGUUAAAUAUAGAAUAAGGAUUGCUUAACCAGAAUCUGCCCUAUACGCUUAACACAACCUGCUCUGACCCGUAUAGCUUACCACCUAAACUAAGUGACUCAAGCCAACCUAGAGGCAGAGUCAGGAUUAGAUGCUCUGUGUGACCUUCACUCAAUUUAACCCAUCCUGAUCUGAUCAUUUGAUCCAUACUCAAACUGGACCGAGCCCACAAAAUCUAACCAAAACUCCACCCUAAUCUUAGAAACCCUUAACCGAAACGGCACAAAACGAGUCGUGUCAUCCUUUGCCACCUCUAAAUUUACUAAUCCAACGGCAACCUGGGUGUUCCUAACCAUUCUCUACGAUGUCAUUGUCAAGCCCCUUUCUUCGUCUAUAAUAAAUCCUAAACUAGUCAUUCUCCAGGUUUUGAAAUGCCAACGACCGGAUCUGAUCAGGCUCAGCAAUUGGCAUCAUCCAAACAAACAUAUAUACCCAUCAUUCUCUUGGCCAGUAAUCCCAAAAUGCAUAAUUAUAAUACUAGAAUCUCCCUUCCUACGUACUUCAAUAUUGUUCGAGCCGCAAUUAUGCCCACACUAAAAAUUCCAUAUUCCACAUGGUAAUUUUCUUCGUACAUUCUCAAAUUAAAAAAAAAAAAAUCUCUAAUCUCAUGCCAUUUCAGAGCCCCAAUUACCAAGAUGCACUUCAAAUAAAACUCGAAUUCUUAAUCUGAUUUCCAAAUUAUGACGAUGAAAACGUUAACAGAAUUCGACAGAAUUUAUUGCAAGUGCACCAAUGUAGAUUAGGCAAAAACCCACAGUUAAUCCACUUUGCUAAACCACACCAGGCCCAAAUGAAAUAAUAAAAUUAGAUUAACCAUAGUUCGCAUCAGAGCAAUCGGUCCUCCAAAAUAUGUUAAUUUUCUACAAAAUUCCCUAAUGAUCGCUCACUAUUACCGCACCAGAUAUGCUAAAAAUUUUAGAGCAAAAAGAGAUUUUCUACGGAAAAGAAAAGAACACCAUACUGAAAUAUGUAGAGAGAGAGUAAAUAAUUACAAGACCAAAUAUCCUAGUUUAACAAAUAAAGAAAGAACCAUCAAUUAAGACACUAAAUCUACUUUCCCAACAUCACACUACUCCAAACCCAAAAGGAAUCUUUACAUCAAAAUUGAAGACAAAAAGAGAGGAAAGGAAACUUUUCUCUAACCAGCUCAAUUAAAAGCUAAGCGACUACCCAUGGGGGGGUUCGGGGGGAGGGGCGGCGGGUUCGGGGAUGUUGGGGGGACUGAGGAGCGGCGGCGGCGACGUGGUGGCGGUGGCGGGGAUGGCGGGGAUGGGCACGGGGAAGGAUGGCUGGCAGCUGUCGCCAUCGCAGCCGCCGCCGCCGCCGCCGCGGGCCCUGGAGCGGGACCCGUGGCGGAGGAAUCCGAAGCCAAGGAUGAGACCCAACACGGCGAGGACAGCGACCACCACAAAGAAGAUCUUGGUGGCCUUGCCCACGUAGCACCACAUGAUGGUGGUGGUCUCACCCUAAUCUUUCCACCUCUUCGUUCCCUCUUCUUCUCUGUAUGGAUACAGGACAAAGGAACACCCAGGACGAGAGACUAAAAGCGAGAGAGAGAGAGAGUGUGUUCGGUUGUUGGCUAGUUUGGGCUGUGGUGAAUUGUUGGGUUCACGUGGGGCCGUGACAGGAAAAGGUAGAGCUGUAUUGAAAUGACCUUUUAUUACUACCUAUCCGGUAAAAAAGUUAGUGUAAAGGUUCUUCGUCCAGUCAAUUUUCUUCCCACCUGUACUCCAUACCAUGAGUAACGGAAUGGAAAAACAUAAAAAUGAGAAAAAAAUUAGGAGCAAGAAUACAAAAGCAUUUCUUGUUCAUGCCC
rnacentral:lncRNA from 1 species